GAUCAUGGCUCAGGAUGAACGCUAGCUACAGGCUUAACACAUGCAAGUCGAGGGGCAGCAUGGUCUUAGCUUGCUAAGAUUGAUGGCGACCGGCGCACGGGUGAGUAACGCGUAUCCAACCUUCCCUAUAGUAGGGGAUAGCCCGUAGAAAUGCGGAUUAAUACCCUAUGUUGUAUUUUGAGGACAUCUGACGAAUACCAAAGGUUCACCGCUAUAGGAUGGGGAUGCGUCUGAUUAGGUAGUCGGCGGGGUAACGGCCCACCGAGCCAACGAUCAGUAGGGGUUCUGAGAGGAAGGUCCCCCACAUUGGAACUGAGACACGGUCCAAACUCCUACGGGAGGCAGCAGUGAGGAAUAUUGGUCAAUGGGCGAGAGCCUGAACCAGCCAAGUAGCGUGCAGGAUGACGGCCCUAUGGGUUGUAAACUGCUUUUAUGCGGGGAUAAAGUGGGGGACGUGUCCCUUAUUGUAGGUACCGCAUGAAUAAGGACCGGCUAAUUCCGUGCCAGCCGCCGC
rnacentral:rRNA from 1 species